GUGCUCGCUUUGGCAGCACAUAUAUUAAAAUUGGAACGACACAGAGAAGAUUAGCAUGGCCCCUGCACAAGGAUGAUACACAAAUUUGUGAAGCAUUUUU
rnacentral:snRNA from 1 species